rfam:Frankia sp. EI5c TG55_1141, whole genome shotgun sequence.
CUUGAGGCUGCCGAGCCACAACGGCCGGUCUGCCGGGCGGUCCUUGCCGUAGGUGGCGAGCAGGGCUUGGGCUUC